rnacentral:rRNA from 1 species
AACGAACGCUGGCGGCAUGCCUAACACAUGCAAGUCGAACGAGACCUUCGGGUCUAGUGGCGCACGGGUGCGUAACGCGUGGGAACCUGCCCUUAGGUUCGGAAUAACUCCCCGAAAGGGGUGCUAAUACCGGAUAAUGUCUUCGGACCAAAGAUUUAUCGCCCUUGGAUGGGCCCGCGUUGGAUUAGCUAGUUGGUAGGGUAAAAGCCUACCAAGGCGACGAUCCAUAGCUGGUCUGAGAGGAUGGUCAGCCACACUGGGACUGAGACACGGCCCAGACUCCUACGGGAGGCAGCAGUGGGGAAUAUUGGACAAUGGGCGAAAGCCUGAUCCAGCAAUGCCGCGUGAGUGAUGAAGGCCUUAGGGUUGUAAAGCUCUUUUACCCGGGAUGAUAAUGACAGUACCGGGAGAAUAAGCUCCGGCUAACUCCGUG